AUAUACGCUCAGCUCUGGUAUCACAACAGUGAGCAAGACAAAUGGAGUUUAGAUUCUGUAAUUUUUUAAAAAAGAUAGAUAAAAAGAGACAUGCAAAAGUAAUAACAUCCACAGGGCUGCCUCCCCUCCCCCGCCCCAAUGCAGGGGGUCCGCAGCUGGUACUUGUUAGUGUCUCGGAUCAUUUCUUGGCCUCCUCAGGCCCCUUUGUUGUUUUGCCUUCCUACCCUGUGAGAGCAAGCUGUUUGUCACUCUCUCUAGUGAUAAAUGCCGUCUGAAGUGAGGUCUGCUCAUUCUGGUCAAAGCUCAUGAACCUCUGAGGAGAGGAGGCAGCCUUCACUAGCCGUUUUUCUGAAGGUUGGCCACUCCCCGGGGCUUCUAAUGAGACAAGGUGUAGAAUGCAGGCCCUUUAACCUUCUACCUGGCUUCCCCUCUGUCCUCAUGGCCUGCCUGCUCUGAAGAUAAGCAGAUACUCUCAGUAAAUCUUCCUUCAACAUCGAACAAGAAUCUUCAAUGAGUCCUCACCCAUUCAUUCACUCAAGAAAUAUUGGUAGAAAGCCACAAUGUCCAUGGUGUUAUUCUAGAUACUUGGUAUGCAGAAGCAAAACCUACUCAACCAACCAAGAAAAUCAGACUGAAAUGCCCUCUCCCAUGGAGUUUACAUCCAAAAGGAGGUGAGCCAUAAACAAAAUGAAGACAGAAGCGGGUAGUGAGUUUGAGGAAGGACCCAAGUUGAAAGAGCGAUGGUCAGGGCCCCACCAUUUGAACAGAGAACAGACAGAAAUAAAGAGUGAGCCAUGAGGAAGAGAAUUUCCAGGCAGAGGGACGUACAUGCUCAACUGUGUCUCAAAAUGGGAAGGAGGCCUGUGCAGCCAGUGUGUGUGGGGGUGGGGGGGGGUUAGAAGAGGACGUCGUGUGGCCUGAUGCUCAUCUGGUAUUUAGAGCUCCAGUGUGGGCUUGGCUAGCCACAAUCCACAGUAGGCGGACAAUAAAUGCUUCAUUUUAACUACGUUUAUUACAGUAACGAUGAGACAAAUUGGAAUUGGAAGAAUUAUUCAGAAAUUAGUUCCACCUCAAGGUCAUUUCCUAAUUAAAUGAAUCUAGCAAUUUUUCAGGUAUGAACACAUAAGAUUUUCAAGAUGGUAAAGUGUGGGGGAAAACUGUAUCUUUCAAAAACAGUGAAAUAUAGUCAUUUGAGUA